rnacentral:rRNA from 1 species
CACGCAGGCGGUUUGUUAAGUCAGAUGUGAAAUCCCCGGGCUCAACCUGGGAACUGCAUUUGAAACUGGCAAGCUAGAGUCUCGUAGAGGGGGGUAGAAUUCCAGGUGUAGCGGUGAAAUGCGUAGAGAUCUGGAGGAAUACCGGUGGCGAAGGCGGCCCCCUGGACGAAGACUGACGCUCAGGUGCGAAGCGUGGGGAGACAAACGA